AAACUUGAGAGUUUGAUCAUGGCUCAGAACGUACGCUGGCGGCACGCCUAACACAUGCAAGUCGAACGAAGUAGCAAUACUUAGUGGCAGACGGGUGAGUAACAUGUAGGUAUCUGCCCUUUGGCCUGGAAUAACACGAGGAAACUUGUGCUAAUACCGGAUAAGUCUUUACGGAGAAAGCUUUAUGCACCAUUGGAUGAGCCUGCACUUGAUUAGUUUGUUGGUGGGGUAAUGGCCUACCAAGACUGUGAUCAAUAGCUGAUUUGAGAGGAUGAUCAGCCACAUUGGGACUGAGACACGGCCCAAACUCCUACGGGAGGCAGCAGUGGGGAAUCUUGCACAAUGGAGGAAACUCUGAUGCAGCGAUGCCGCGUGAGUGAAGAAGGCCCUUGGGUUGUAAAGCUCUUUCGUCGGGGAAGAAAAUGACUGUACCCGAAUAAGAAGGUCCGGCUAACUUCGUGCCAGCAGCCGCGGUAAUACGAAGGGACCUAGCGUAGUUCGGAAUUACUGGGCUUAAAGAGUUCGUAGGUGGUUGAAAAAGUUGGUGGUGAAAUCCCAGAGCUUAACUCUGGAACUGCCAUCAAAACUUUUCAGCUAGAGUAUGAUAGAGGAAAGCAGAAUUUCUAGUGUAGAGGUGAAAUUCGUAGAUAUUAGAAAGAAUACCGAUUGCGAAGGCAGCUUUCUGGAUCAUUACUGACACUGAGGAACGAAAGCAUGGGUAGCGAAGAGGAUUAGAUACCCUCGUAGUCCAUGCCGUAAACGAUGUGUGUUAGACGUUGGAAAUUUAUUUUCAGUGUCGCAGCGAAAGCGAUAAACACACCGCCUGGGGAGUACGACCGCAAGGUUAAAACUCAAAUGAAUUGACGGGGACCCGCACAAGUAGUGGAGCAUGUGGUUUAAUUCGAAGAUACGCGCAGAACCUUACCAACACUUGACAUGUUCGUCGCGACUCUAAGAGAUUAGAGUUUUCGGUUCGGCCGGACGAAACACAGGUGCUGCAUGGCUGUCGUCAGCUCGUGUCGUGAGAUGUUGGGUUAAGUCCCGCAACGAGCGCAACCCUCACUUUUAGUUGCCAUCAUUAAGUUGGGCACUCUGAAAGAACUGCCAGUGAUAAGCUGGAGGAAGGUGGGGAUGACGUCAAGUCCUCAUGGCCCUUACGUGUUGGGCUACACACGUGCUACAAUGGUAUCUACAGCAGGAAGCAAGACUGCGAAGUCAAGCAAAUCCUUAAAAGAUACCUCAGUUCGGAUUGCACUCUGCAACUCGAGUGCAUGAAGCUGGAAUUACUAGUAAUCGUGGAUCAGCGUGCCACGGUGAAUGCGUUCCCGGGUCUUGUACACACCGCCCGUCACACCAUGGGAGUUGGUUCUACCUUAAGGCAAGGUUUUAAACCCUUGACCACGGUAUAGUCAGCGACUGGGGUGAAGUCGUAACAAGGUAGCCGUAGGGGAACCUGCGGCUGGAUUACCUCCUUU
rnacentral:rRNA from 1 species